rnacentral:lncRNA from 1 species
AUGGCUGAUACGGAGGUGAGGCGAGGCCCCGGCAUGCCAAGAAAGGAAAUGGAGCACGGCAGAACCGCCCGUGGAGCGGAGCAGAGCUGGGAUGCUGCACUGAACCAUGGAGAUGCCAUAGCAGGAACAACUCGUGGUUGCAAACCAGGCUACCCGGUUUUAAGUCACAUCCAACUUUUUUUUUUCUUUUUGAGCCAGGCAACUAAAUAUUUCUGAAGCUUAUUAAAUUAACCAGUUAGACCAAGGCAAUAUACAAGGUAUAGAGGCCAAAGAAAGCAGCGUGGGUGUAACUUUUUGAAGGAGAAUUAUAGUUGCUGCUGAUCAUGCUGUUACAGUAAAUGUUGUGUCAGUGUUUCCAUUAUUGGUCUUUUUUUUUUUUUUCCUCCUUCAGUGAGUUGUUCUGGGGCUGCAUGAAAAGGUUUCCACGUGCUGCAAAAUGUAACGUGAAACCAGCAAAUCUCUUACCCAAGGAAUCCCCAUGGUUUAGACUAGGAAGAAGCAUCUGAAAGCUGGCAUCUGAACCCGAUGCUGGUCACCCAAAAUUCUGGGGGAGUCCAGUCCGUGCUCAGCUCUCCCUGAUGUGAAACGUAGUCACUUUGGUUCUUGCACAGUGUCUAAAGAGGUGACAGAUCUUCAAGUUGGGUAAACAUCUCUGGUUCAUCUCUGAUACAAACAGAGCUUGGCUGUGUUUGUGAUUUGGCUUGCGCUCUUUGCAUCACAUCGCUGCGUGGGGACUCUGCGGCUGACAGUAAGAUGCUACACAAGAUGCCGGUCGUACUGCAAAGACCUUCUGUUACUGAGUAAGCUUUGUGUGUCAGCCCACGCAAACGUGCUGUACUUGAUUAAUCGUGUUCAUUAGGGUUGUAUUUUCAGGCAGCCGAGAACAGGGCUCCCUUAUGCUGGGCACUGUGCAGAUCUGGAGAACCAGCAGUGCUUUGUUUCCUGUGUGACGUGCCAACGUCUUUCUCCAGGCCAAGCCUGCUUUCUAAUUCAAGUGACAAAAUUAGUGAAAAACUGGUUUGCGUCUUGCUCUUCCAUCCGCCUGGGCAUGUUUGGGAAUCCCUUAGAAUGACUGAAUUCAGUGGUUUAAGCUUUUUUUUUUUUUUAUUGCACACCUCCCACAAUAACUCUGAAGCAGCUUCAUAAUGGAAAUGCUGACACAACACUAUCGCCUCAGCCCCAGGAGUGUGUUCCACCUUCUAUUGUUUGCCUUGGCCUCUGUAUAUUGUAUACUGCCUCAGUUUAAUUGGUUAAUUUAAUAAACUUCUGAAGUGCUGUAUCA